rnacentral:rRNA from 1 species
AUUGAACGCUGGCGGCAUGCUUUACACAUGCAAGUCGAACGGUAACAGGUCUUCGGAUGCUGACGAGUGGCGAACGGGUGAGUAAUGCAUCGGAACGUGCCCAGUCGUGGGGGAUAACGCAGCGAAAGCUGUGCUAAUACCGCAUACGAUCUAUGGAUGAAAGCGGGGGACCGUAAGGCCUCGCGCGAUUGGAGCGGCCGAUGUCAGAUUAGCUAGUUGGUGGGGUAAAGGCGCACCAAGGCGACGAUCUGUAGCUGGUCUGAGAGGACGACCAGCCACACUGGGACUGAGACACGGCCCAGACUCCUACGGGAGGCAGCAGUGGGGAAUUUUGGACAAUGGGCGCAAGCCUGAUCCAGCAAUGCCGCGUGCAGGAAGAAGGCCUUCGGGUUGUAAACUGCUUUUGUACGGAACGAAAAGGUUCGGGUUAAUACCCUGGGCUCAUGACGGUACCGUAAGAAUAAGCACCGGCUAACUACGUGCCAGCCGCCACUGUAAGAC